AUCGUUUCACAUCCGUCGUCUGUUGCACCUGCCUCCACUGCGAGAAUAAUGUGCCAUGCGGAAAUUCGGGCCAUCUCAAGUCAUCCAUGAGAGAACAGGUGGAAAAUGUUUGGUAAAAGUGUAGUCAUCACUAGCUGUUUAUACGCCAUUCGUCCCGCAUACGUGAAUCAUAACCUAACCUAAUCAGUAAUCAUAAUAAUAAAUAAUAUAUAGACAAAGGUAUUCGAGUAAACAGCUAGAAUAAUUUUCGUUUGUUUUCUAUGAACUGUGCAGUUUUCACCAUGAACGAACAUUAUCUCGACCGUAUAAUAGCCAUAGUUACAAUCUGUA